rnacentral:rRNA from 1 species
UACGAAGGGGGCUAGCGUUGUUCGGAAUUACUGGGCGUAAAGCGUGCGCAGGCGGCUCAUCAAGUCAGAGGUGAAAGCCCAGGGCUCAACCCUGGAACUGCCUUUGAAACUGUUGGGCUUGAGUACGGGAGAGGUGAGUGGAAUUCCGAGUGUAGAGGUGAAAUUCGUAGAUAUUCGGAGGAACACCAGUGGCGAAGGCGGCUCACUGGCUCGAUACUGACGCUGAGGUGCGAAAGCGUGGGGAGCAAACAGG